UGUAGUAUGGUACUGCGUGGUAAUAGCAUCAUCGCAUAUGGAUUACCAUGCACGGAAAACAGAAGUUCAUCGCGGAUUGACGCAUACACCACCAAAUUAUAUCUUGCAAAGAUAAAAUUACGACAUGCAUUAAUGUUCUUCAAGAAGUAUGUGUGUCGAAUGUAUAAUUUUACAACCCGAGCCGUAGCCAUAACAGCAGUUAAAAAAACAACAACGCAGCCGCUGUAUCUUACUUAAAAAUAUGUUACUGAUUUGUUUAAUUUAAUUUGUUUGAUUUGUUUGUUUAAAAUAUAGUUUUGUUUGUACAUAUAAAGGCAUGUUCUCUUGGAUUCGACAAGCAAAAAUUUUACGGCCGGAAAUUUGCAAACUUUACGGCCGGAAAUUUCAGGGAACCUCGAAAUCGAUCAUCAGCAUAUUCCAUAAACGAUAACUAGCAAACUUCGAUUUCUGAGGAGAAUGUGCACGGAGAGUCCCCAAGACAAUGUUGAUGUGUAGAACAGAUUCUCACAAUAACUACGACAUAUUUCAUAUAUUUUAACAAAUAAAUCGUUUUCGGGAAUACUAAUUACUGAUAUUUAGUAUCUUUCAAUCUUUAUAUCACAAAGAAAAUAAUAAAAAAGAAUAAAAGUGACAAACAUCA